AAAACCAUUUUUUUUUUGGCCGGGUGCAGUGCCUCACACCUGUAACCCCAGCACUUUGGGAGACCAAGGCGGGUGGAUCACCUGAGGGCAGGAGUUCGAGACCAGCCUGGCCAACAUGGUGAAACCCUGUCUACUAAAAAUACGAAAAUUAGCUGGGCGUGGUGGUAGGCACCUGUAAUCCCAGCUACUCAGGAGGCUGAGUGGAGGUGCUAGGGUCCAGUCUCCAGGGAGUCCCAGAAGGACAGGAGCAGGCUACUGUGGGGCUGGACUAUCAUUCUGACCCCGACUCUGGUCUCCACAGCCUCUGCCUGGCCCUGGCUCUCAUAUAGAGUAGCCUAGAAUC
rnacentral:lncRNA from 1 species